rnacentral:sRNA from 1 species
ACCAACAGGAUCGCAGGGAGCGGCCAAUGGAAGAGUUCGAGCCGGUUCUCGUCAGAAAUGUCCAUCACUCUGAUUUGGAGAGGCUUUGCAAAUCCGUAAAGACCUAUGCGGGGUGCUAUGUUCUCAAGGAUCCAAGCAGCGAAGCGGAAACAGCCGGUCUCGACGCCCACUGCUGGUUCCCUUCACGCGAUGACAGCAUCCUGUUCCAGCUCCAAUGGGCUGCGCCUAACCACGCCUAGGGAACAAACCUUCUUGGACGAUGAGAUCGGCGCUCCGUCGUAUUUGUUCGGCUCGCCAUUUGGGGUAGGCCCAAUACAUCGACGGAAUGAUCAUUC